GUACAAAGGUAGCAUAAUCAUUAGUUUUUUAAUUGAAAACUGGAAUGAAUGGUUGGAUGAAAUAUAAACUGUUUCAAAAAAAAAUUUAUUAUAAUUUUAUUUUUUAGUAAAAAAGCUAAAAUAUAUUUAAAAGACGAGAAGACCCUAUAAAUCUUAAUAUAAAAUAUAUAUAUUAAUUUUUUUUUAGAAGAUUAUAAAGUAUUUAUAUUUUAUAUUUUAUUGGGGAGAUAGUAAAAUUUAAUAAACUUUUAUUUAAUAAUUACAUUAAUUUAUGAAUUUUUGAUUAAUUAAUAAUGAAUAAUAAAAUAAGUUACUUUAGGGAUAACAGCGUAAUUAUUUUGGAGAGUUCAUAUUGAUAAAAUAGAUUGCGACCUCGAUGUUGGAUUAAGAAAAAAGUUAGGUGUA
rnacentral:rRNA from 1 species